rnacentral:pre_miRNA from 1 species
UGUGUACUUCCUCCGUCCGAAAAUACUUGUCAUCAAAAUGGAUGAACAUCCAUUUUGAUGACAAGUAUUUUCGGACGGAGGGAGUAGUCA